GUGUUAGUGGUAGAUGGUGGUAGUUAGUGGUAGAUGGUGGUAGUUAGUGGUAGAUGGUGGUAGAUGGUGGUAUAUGGUGGUAGUUAGUGGUAGAUGGUGGUAGAAGGUGGUAGAUGGUGGUAGUUAGUGGUAGAUGGUGAUAGUUAGUGGUAGAUGGUGGUAGUUAGUGGUAGAUGGUGGUAGAUGGUGGUAUAUGGUGGUAGUUAGUGGUAGAUGGUGGUAGAAGGUGGUAGAUGGUGGUAGAUGGUGGUAGUUAGUGGUAGAUGGUGAUAGUUAGUGGUAGAUGGUGGUAGAUGGUUGUAGAUUGAUCGUUCUGUCUCUACACCACACUGUCACAAGGGGGAGGAAUAACUCUGAUCUAUCGGUAGUCUAAACUGUGGCACAGAUUGACCGUCUUUUCCUAAAUCAAUGGAGGUGUUUUCAGUCUGAUAGUCUCUCUUCUCUGGCAAUAAAGUCCUGCAUCAGGCGACAACAACAACACAUUAGCUGGCGGUGGUUCUGGAGUUAAGAGAGAACUUGGUGAAAUACAAUCGGGGAAUUACACUCGACAUGUGGACUGACGAUUUUCCAAAAGAAGGCACGGUGGGCUGUUGGUUUCUGUCCCUCUGAAAACCAGAAGUAAAUCAUUCUAAAAAAAAAAACUGUCUUUAUUUACCACAUUGUGGAAGAGUGGCAAACCCUCUGUAAGAAGGGAGGUUCUGACACACGGAGUCCACCUUUACUGAGGUGAAGAAGAGACGGGAUGGGAGGUUCUGACACACGGAGUCCUCCUUUACUGAGGUGAAGAAGAGACGGGAUGGAGGUUCUGACACACGGAGUCCUCCUUUACUGAGGUGAAGAAGAGACGGGAUGGGAGGUUCUGACACACGGAGUCCUCCUUUACUGAGGUGAAGAAGAGACGGGAUGGGAGGUUCUGACACACGGAGUCCUCCUUUACUGAGGUGAAGAAGAGACGGGAUGGGAGGUUCUGACACACGGAGUCCUCCUUUACUGAGGUGAAGAAGAGACGGAUGGGGAGGUUCUGACACACGGAGUCCUCCUUUACU